UACGAAGGGGGCUAGCGUUGCUCGGAAUCACUGGGCGUAAAGGGUGCGUAGGCGGGUCUUUAAGUCGGGGGUGAAAUCCUGGAGCUCAACUCCAGAACUGCCUUUGAUACUGAGGAUCUUGAGUUCGGGAGAGGUGAGUGGAACUGCGAGUGUAGAGGUGAAAUUCGUAGAUAUUCGCAAGAACACCAGUGGCGAAGGCGGCUCACUGGCCCGAUACUGACGCUGAGGCAUGAAAGCGUGGGGAGCAAACAGG
rnacentral:rRNA from 1 species